GGCCCGUUCGUUUAGUGGGAGGAUGCCGGGUUCUCAGUCCGGAGAAAUGGGUUCGAUUCCCAUACGGGUCAC
rnacentral:tRNA from 1 species